ensembl:lncRNA
GUGCCUAAUAUACCCCACCCCUUGGCAGGUGCCUAAUAUACCCCACCCCUUGGCAGGUGCCACCCCUUGGCAGGUGCCAUUGUAAUCAAUGUCAUUCACUUCAUCUGUCAGUGGUUUUAAUGUUAUGGCUGAACAUUUUUAUAUAUGUUUAUGCAUAUUUUGCCUUCCAAGCACAGCACGCCUAUGUUUUCUCCUGCCAGCUCAUAUAGGCUAAAGAACAAACAAGUAACGUGAUGAUGUCGGACACAAAUGAUGGAGGCAGCAAUUUAACGAUCUUCAUUCUCUGCUUCAUCCUGGUCGUCCUUGUUCUUCUCCUGUUGUACCUCUACAAGCGACUGAACAAUGAAACAAAGGAUGAAUAUACCAUCCAGCGGCUUGUCUUCAGUGAGGGAGGCCUUCGUGAUCGUGUGAGGCAAGGCAUUGCAGAGGUCCAGACCAGGAUAGGUGACCUGCAUAAGGUCUCAACCCCUUGAUGAAGAGCAAGCUUUGAGCAAUAAUGAAGAUGGGAAUAGUGGCAGAGAAGAAGAACGAGACGAAGAAGAAGAUGCAGGACAAGGUCAAAGGGAAAAUGAGAACAAGACAGAAGAGAAAGAAGAGGAACAUCAAGAUCAUGAUUCAUCAGACGACUAUUCCAGCAUUGACCUAAGGGAGAGAGUAAAGCAGAAUAACAGCAAUGAAGAGGAAAUGAAAGAAGAUGAACAAGAGAAACAAGAGGUGGCAAAAGAUGAAGGAAAAAGAGAUGACAAUAAACAAGAGGAAGAUGUGAAGAAUGAAGAAAGGGUUGGCUUACUUGUAGACUUGAAGGCAUUCUCUGGCAGUGCCAUUUGGUCUGAGGAGAAAAAGGAAGAGACUAAUGUGACAGCUUUGUGAAAUAUAGAAGGCUUUAGCCUAAAUAUGAGGCUCAUUAGAAGAAAAGUCUAGACUUGACGAUGUUUGUCUUGCGAUGAGUGAUUUACCUUUGUCAUUCUUAAAAACCUGAUGCAUCCAUAAUAUCCAUAAGAUAGUUUAUUAUUUUUCUUAUCCAUGGCUUAUUUUAUUAGCAUGUUUUCUGUAAUGGCUGACUUUUUUGUUAUUAGAAUAUUUUUUUCAUAAAAACUGUACAUUUACUUCAAAAUAAAUACCAUUAAAUCAUUCAUUUUGAUUUUUUUUUUAAUGCUAUGAAGCUUCAGACUAAAAUAAAGGCCUAGCGUUUAGCCAUAUUAUUCCCCAAAUGGAAACUGAAUACACGACCAUCUCUUGUUAAUGUUGAUCAGUUUAUUUGCUUGCUUUUGUGCCACACAACAUAUGAACAACGCACAAUAAAAUACAUGCAUGUAGUAUGAUAGAAUAUAAUAGGAUCAACUAUUUAUUGAUGUCAGUAAGCUAUACGGUCGAUGAAAAUAAAAACACCAUUUUAAAAAUUGCAGUGUGUAUUGCAAAUAUGUCACAAAAAAUGUUCUUUGAUCUCCAUUUUGUUCAGUGCAAGUGUUUCAGCAUUUAAAAAGUGUCCUCUAAACUAAUUUGAUUGGACCGAUUCUCG